rnacentral:rRNA from 1 species
UACGGAGGGUGCGAGCGUUGUCCGGAAUCAUUGGGCGUAAAGGGCGCGUAGGUGGCCCGGUCAGUCCGUGGUGAAAGCGCGGGGCUCAACCCCGCGUCGGCCAUGGAUACUGCUGGGCUGGAGCACUGUAGAGGCGGGCGGAAUUCCGGGUGUAGCGGUGGAAUGCGUAGAGAUCCGGAAGAACACCGGUGGCGAAGGCGGCCUGCUGGGCAGUUGCUGACACUGAGGCGCGACAGCGUGGGGAGCAAACAGG